rnacentral:rRNA from 1 species
UACGAAGGGGGCUAGCGUUGUUCGGAAUUACUGGGCUUAAAGGGCGCGUAGGCGGGUGACCAAGUCAGGGGUGAAAUCUUUCGGCCCAACCGGAAAAGUGCCUCUGAUACUGGUCGUCUUGAGGGAGGUAGGGGUCGAGGGAACUGGUGGUGGAGCGGUGAAAUGCGUAGAUAUCACUAGGAACGCCGGUGGCGAAAGCGCUCGACUGGACCUCUUCUGACGCUGAGGCGCGAAAGCCAGGGGAGCAAACGGG